CCAUUAAAAAAAAAGUAAGUUUGAUACGCCACUGAUGGAAUACAGCACGCCACAGGUGAUUAGAAAUAUUCCAUAAAUUUGAGGAAUUAUCCGUUAAGUACUGGUAUACACUUGCCUCUCGUUUUCAAUGAGUCAAGCUUUCUUAUGCAAAUUCUCUUUAGUUUAGAUUAACAGAACCGGAAUUUUCUUGAAAUUUCUCAAUCCGUCUAUUUUGCGGGGGGUACAGCUAGAGCUACAGGUAAAGUAUUCUGUAGUAUUUCUAUUUAGAAAGAAGGAUUGAAGGAUCCCACGCUUUGAUCUCAAUGCACGAUAACCGAAGUGCAAUACGAUUUACAGCUGUGUGAAUUCUAAAUAGGAUGUAAGCAAGCAGUUAUUUAGAUAUAAUUUUCAAGGAAGGGCUUUUUCCCAAACGUGUAGUAGGUACUAUCAAAAGCCUGUGGUCCUGCGUUUUAACAUUGAAUAAAAACGCUAUUUGGUUUUAAUUUUGCAAUCAAGUUCAGACAAGCUUUGUAUAAACUUCGCACACAUGUUACCGGUUCCUAGUGUCUUCGAGCGUAUGUCUGAAUUGAUUAACAAAUCAAUGGCGCAAUCAAGGCCGCACGUACUCCUGAUUCCAAGUAGGCGAUUAUAAUAUAAUCUUUCUUGUGGUUUAGCGAAUUUUGUAUAAGAUACACCCCCUUUAAUUUAAUUAAUUUCUUAUUUACCUAUUUAUUAAUCAUUAAUGCGACUUUGGUUAAAGUAGGUAAAGCAUGACAUUCAAAUCUGGCAACACUACCCAAGGCCAAAGGUUAUAGUUAUAGCAUUGAAUAUAAACACAGUUAUAGGAGCGAGAAUUGAGAAACGCAUUUGGUCGUUUCUGUUUGUCAGUACCUUGCAAGUGCAAACGCGGCAAUGCUUUCUUCUCAUUUCACGUGAGGUGUGAAUACUGAAUAGAACGAGACAGAUGAGCUUCUGUAGCUUAACGCUAUAACGUCAAUCCGCUUAUACUGCUGUUUUGCAAUUGAGGCAGAGCGUUGAGUGGGAUUUAUCACUCAACGGGCAGAGGCAAGCAUUCGUCUCGCCCCGCAUCCGUGUGCAAGCUUUCUUUCAAUUCUUUCAUUGUUAACUAUUUACAUUUAGCAAUUAGCACAGUGUGGUCUGGCAAGUACUUAUGAUUGUUUAACGUUUAACCCCUGAUUGAAUUGAAUAUACGGUUUAAGUAUUUUAAGUGUCUGAUUUGAUAGUGCCCGUUAUCUGCCACAGUAAGAUGUACAAACCUACAAGUCGUUCAGCAAAGCAUAUAUCAAUUAAACGUAAACUAGCAUCUCUGAAGCAUGUACGCUAUGCAACAGAUCAAAAAAAGAAUAUGGAAACCUACGCUUGUACCUCGACUUCCUCGACAACUGUGUUAAAAUCUAAUGGGGAUGCUAAACAAACAAACAUUAAUAACAAACAUAUGUUCGGUACUAACAUACCCAAUUCUUUUGAUUCACAUGAUGAAUCUGUGCAUGAAAUUGAACAUCUACAACUUAACAUCUCUAGUAAUUCAAGUUCGAACAGCAAUAGUGUUUGCGACAUUGAUAACCAAAAUUUACCUAGUGACUGUAAUACACAUAUGGUUCCUUCAAUAACUACUUUACCAGAAGAACUGAAGUUUUGGUCGAUAACAGAAAAAGUUACUCAUAAACAAUUAAAUUCUUUAUUACGGAUUUUAAAAAAAUACCAUAGCGGCUUACCUUUAUGUUCAAAAACAUUAUUAAACACUAGUGAUAAUUAUGAAGUAAAAAAUAUGGCAUCCUUACGAAACACUACUGGCGAAUUUGUGUAUUUUGGAGUACACAAUUUUUUAACUAAUUUCCUUGAUAAAUUUCACCAAAUUUACCUACAGCAUGAUGAAAAAAUUGUUUACUUGCUCAUAAAUAUUGAUGGAAUACCAAUUCAAAAAAGUACUUCUAAUCAACUUUGGCCAAUCUUAGCAUCAGUUAUAUCGCCAGACUUUAAAAGUACUCCGUGGCCAAUUGCCAUAUUUUAUGGUGACAGUAAACCGUUUUCAAUAGGGGAAUUUUUGGCACAAUUCAUUAUUGAAAUGAAACACUUGACUAUUCAUGGUCUUUUACAUAAUAACACUCAGUAUUCCAUUAAAAUUAAAUCAUUUAUUUGUGAUGCUCCUGCAAGAGCUUUUAUUAAAUGCAUUAAAAGCCAUAACAGUUAUUAUGGUUGUGAACGGUGCACAAUUAGAGGUGUUUAUUUAGACAACAAAGUGGUAUUUCCUGAUUUAAAUUGUGACUUAAGAACGCACAUCUCUUUUAUAAAUAGACAUAAUAAAGAACACCAUGUUAGCACAUCUCCUUUAGUACAAUUAGAUAUUGAUCUUAUUAACGAUGUAACUUUGGAUUACAUGCAUAUGGCUUGUUUAGGGGUGAUGAAAAGACUUCUUAAUUUAUGGAUUAAAAUUCGAAGUGCAAACAGCUUAUCGCGCUGUAAAAUAAUUUUAAUUAGUAAUCUACUACAUUCUGUCAGAAAUUAUAUUCCUGUUGAAUUCCAAAGAAAACCAAGAACCUUGAAUGAGCUUGACCGUUGGAAAGCAACAGAAUUUAGAUUUUUUAUGUUGUACAUUGGACCAAUUGUUUUAAACAAUUUUUUACCUAAAAAACUGUAUAAGAAUUUCCUAUAUUAUCACUGUGCCAUACGAAUAAUAUGUUCAAAAAAGCUACUGGAAGAGUAUGGAUGUGUUGCUAUUGAUUGCAUAAAAUUUUUUUUUUGUGGUGUUAAAAAAAUUUACGGUGAACAAGAAACUUCAUAUAAUAUGCAUUCUAUUUAUCAUUUGGUACAUGAUGCAGUUACAGCAAAUAUUCCAGUUGAUCAAAUUAGUUGCUUCGUUUUUGAGUCAUUUUUAGGAAAACUUAAACACUUAAUUCGCACCCCUAAUAAACCACUAUCCCAAAUUUGUAGAAGAUUGUCUGAAAAUUUUCCAACUAUUUCGUUGUAUCGCCAAAGCAAUAACAUCAUUAAUAUAAAAAAAAAUAAAUUAGGUUUUAUAAACUUUAUUGAAUACGACAAUUUUUGUAUUAAAGCUGAUACUAGUGCAGAUUCAUAUAUAUGGUUAAAGAACAAUAAAGUAAUGCAUGUAGCAAAAAUUGAAGAAAUUGGAACAGAAUUAUUUUUUUUUGGUCAUGUUUUUCAAUCAUAUAGUAAUUUAUAUUCCAUAUAUUCAAUUACUUCCUCAAAAUUAUACACAUCCGUGGUAUCAGAUAAAAGCUCUUUUCUUUUUAAAAUAAAUGCCAAAGACUUUUUUUCCAAAUGUGUGGUUUUUAUUGUUGAAAAUAAUAUGGUUGCAGUUGCAAUGUUGCAUCACACAAAUUAAUAUACGUAUUAUUAGUAGGCACAGUGAUUUUACACUUCACCUGAAAUUAUACAUGUAUAAUAGUUAAAAUAACUAAAUCAAACAGCGAAAUUUAUUUACUUGCAUCAUAUAAGCACUUUGAUUUGGUACUUGAGUAUAGUAGGUAACUUACUAAACGCAAAUCAUAAAUGUAACUUGCUUUAGUUUUAGAUUAGGUAAGCACUGUAUUGUAUCGUAAAAAAUAAUUUUGGCACUUUCAAGUUUUCAACAUCACUAAUAAUGUGGGAUGUUAUUAUUUGGACAACUGAAAAUACGACUGAUGUUGUGCCGUCAUCCUGGGUUGUCGAUUCCGCUGUUCGAAAUAAGUAUAUGUACCCAAAGCAAAUUAAAUCCAGCAAAUUAAAAAAAAUUAUUAAAAACUGUGAGGAACCAUCCACCAAAUAUGUAUACACUGAGUUGGAUGCAGUUUUCAAAAAGACCGUCAACUCCUACGCAGAAGGUGAGAAAAUGUUACACACGCUGGAAAACACUUCUUCCCUUGACACUGACGGUACUCGAUCAUGUAUAGACAAAAGCCCAUCGCCGUGCAGUAGUGUUCAUGCACCACCAGGAGAUGGUUUUCGAGAGUCAUUGCUGCCAAUUCUAGACAAAAUAAAUGGGAAUUAUAAAUUAAUUUUAGAAGAAAUAGCUAAAAUCUCUAUAGAAUUAAAGGACCUAAGGAAUGGUCAAAAUCAUCUCCGAAUGAAGUUGUCUAAUGUUUACGAAAAACAAAGUAUACCAGAAUGGCCUCUACCGCUACCUAUAAAAACUGACGCCGACUUUAUAGACGCAGAGAAUUUGUUGCCGGAAAAACAUGACGCUCUGGUGAAAAUAAUUUCACUGGUAGGAGGGAAUUCUCUAAGACAGACAAUCUCCUUCAUGAUAAAGAGAUUGAUAUCCAAAGAUAUCGCUCUCCAAUACUCGACGAAAGGACGGAAAGGGAAAAAAAAUUUUUCGCAAACAAGGUUCUAUAACAUCAUUAUAAGUGCUGCAAGAGGUGUUUACGAGAAUGCAACUGAUUUAGCUAUAUCACAAAUGAUCGGAUUUGCAUUGGCUUCAGCUUCCGAUUGGGAGGGAGGCAACAGAAGGAAGCUGAAGCCUGUGGGAGAGGAAAGCAAGCCUGUGGGAGAGGAAAGCAGUGCAGACGGGGUUGUCGCAGAAAAUGAGGAUCAACAGGUGGAACCUAUCGAAUUAAAUUGACACAAGAAUCACAAUGUACAUGUUCUAGUUCUUAAUGGUGUUUAUGUUCAUGAUUUUUAAAUUGAAUUUGGUUUUUUAGUAUGUACUUAUAUAGUAUUUGUAAGUAGAUUUGUUUAUUAGUUUUUUUUUUAAAUAUAAUGCAGUUGGGUUUAAA